rnacentral:rRNA from 1 species
UUUUUGGAGAGUUUGAUCCUGGCUCAGGACGAACGCUGGCGGCGUGCCUAAUACAUGCAAGUCGAGCGGAGUUAUGAGGGAGCUUGCUUCAGAUUAACUUAGCGGCGGACGGGUGAGUAACACGUA